AGAGUUUGAUCCUGGCUCAGAUUGAACGCUGGCGGCAGGCCUAACACAUGCAAGUCGAGCGGAUGAAGAGAGCUUGCUCUCUGAUUCAGCGGCGGACGGGUGAGUAAUGCCUAGGAAUCUGCCUGGUAGUGGGGGACAACGUUUCGAAAGGAACGCUAAUACCGCAUACGUCCUACGGGAGAAAGCAGGGGACCUUCGGGCCUUGCGCUAUCAGAUGAGCCUAGGUCGGAUUAGCUAGUUGGUGAGGUAAUGGCUCACCAAGGCGACGAUCCGUAACUGGUCUGAGAGGAUGAUCAGUCACACUGGAACUGAGACACGGUCCAGACUCCUACGGGAGGCAGCAGUGGGGAAUAUUGGACAAUGGGCGAAAGCCUGAUCCAGCCAUGCCGCGUGUGUGAAGAAGGUCUUCGGAUUGUAAAGCACUUUAAGUUGGGAGGAAGGGCAUGCACCUAAUACGUGUGUGUCUUGACGUUACCGACAGAAUAAGCACCGGCUAACUCUGUACCAGCAGCCGCGGUAAUACAGAGGGUGCAAGCGUUAAUCGGAAUUACUGGGCGUAAAGCGCGCGUAGGUGGUUCGUUAAGUUGAAUGUGAAAUCCCCGGGCUCAACCUGGGAACUGCAUCCAAAACUGGCGAGCUAGAGUAUGGUAGAGGGUGGUGGAAUUUCCUGUGUAGCGGUGAAAUGCGUAGAUAUAGGAAGGAACACCAGUGGCGAAGGCGACCACCUGGACUGAUACUGACACUGAGGUGCGAAAGCGUGNGGAGCANACAGGAUUAGAUACCCUGGUAGUCA
rnacentral:rRNA from 1 species